ACAAAGGAAGCUUAACCUUCCCCAACAAGGAUAACCAAAUCCUGUUUAGAGACUACUACUGUUCAAAAGUCCCUUCCCUUAUUCCCCUUAACUAUUUAUACAACAAUAAGUGUUCCCCCUUCCUAACUGUCAUACAAUUAGGCCAGCUAAUACAACUAACUACUCACAUACUCUUCUUUCUCCUAACGUACACCCUCAUCAUCCUAUCAUUACCCCCCCC
rnacentral:lncRNA from 1 species